rnacentral:rRNA from 1 species
GAGGAAUAUUGGUCAAUGGGCGCAAGCCUGAACCAGCCAAGUAGCGUGCAGGAAGACGGCCCUAUGGGUUGUAAACUGCUUUUAUACGAGAGUAAUUUGAUGCACGUGUGCGUUAUUGCAUGUAUCGUAUGAAUAAGGACCGGCUAAUUCCGUGCCAGCAGCCGCGGUAAUACGGAAGGUCCAGGCGUUAUCCGGAUUUAUUGGGUUUAAAGGGAGUGUAGGCGGUUUGUUAAGCGUGUUGUGAAAUUUAGGUGCUCAACAUUUAACUUGCAGCGCGAACUGUCAGACUUGAGUACACGCAACGUAUGCGGAAUUCAUGGUGUAGCGGUGAAAUGCUUAGAUAUCAUGAAGAACUCCGAUUGCGAAGGCAGCAUACGGGAGUGUAACUGACGCUUAAGCUCGGAGGUGCGGGUAUCGAACAGGAUUAGAUACCCUGGUAGUCCGCACAGUAAACGAUGGAUGCCCGCUGUUAGCGCCUGGCGUUAGCGGCUAAGCGAAAGCAUUAAGCAUCCCACCUGGGGAGUACGCCGGCAACGGUG